GAUGAAGAACGUAGCGAAAUGCGAUACGUUGUGUGAAUUGCAGAAUUCGGUGAAUCAUCGAAUCUUUGAACGCACAUUGCGCCCUUUGGUAUUCCAAAGGGCAUGCCUGUUCGAGCGUCUUUUGUACCCUCAAGCUUUGCUUGGUGUUGGGCGUUUUUGUCUUUGGCCCGCCAAAGACUCGCCUUAAAAUGAUUGGCAGCCGGCCUACUGGUUUCGCAGCGCAGCACAUUUUUGCGCUUGCAAUCAGCAAAAGAGGACGGCAAUCCAUCAAGACUCCUUCUCACGUUUGACCUCGGAUCAGGUAGGGAUACCCGCUGAACUUAAGCAUAUCAAUAAGCGGAGGA
rnacentral:misc_RNA from 1 species